GCAAAUUCAACCAGAAUGAACACAGCUGGGCACUCAUAGAUCAGAGAGUGUAAUCUCAGAAAACAGACAUGAUGGAGACAAGAUUUCAAAGAUGACAGAGAAUAGUUACCCGCUGGAUGUUACCUUUUGGAAAAUACAGGGAGAAGAACUGGUGUCACCAUGCUAGCACACAGAAGGGGAAGAAUCAGCCUAAAACUCGGAGCACAAGGACAGAAUGAGCAGCUCUAAGACAUCAAAUCCUCCCGGAUUUGAAUGUCACCAAGGGUGACAUGACACUGGUUAUCAGGCUAAGGAGUUUAAUACAGAUCGCCGGUCCCUGAGAUCCUGCCUCUAAAUGGAAAACACCCACACAAUCCCCCGUCCAUCACCAAAGUGUGAGCCCAACAAAACAGAGUGAUGCUAUCCUUUCUUGAAAUGUGACUGCUGAAAUAUGUGUUUCUACUUCUUUCCUCCUCUUUUUAUGACUUCUAUAUCCCAAAUCUCUGCUAGUUUCUGUUUCUGUAAACCUAAGACAAUGAUUUUCCUAAUAAACCACAUAA